rnacentral:lncRNA from 1 species
CUGGCUGGGGCAGUAACCUCUGGCAAUGUAGGUGAUGAUGACCUGCUGGGAAUAGCAUCAUCUUCCACCAGCACAGCUGGAUCUAUCCACAGCUGUGUAAACUUUGACUAGCUAAAUCCAGCUAGUCAAAAACAGACUCUCAAAUCAAUCCCAGGCUCCUUGAGCUGAGCUCCAGUUGGGUGAAGUCUCCUCUAUGUCACACAAUCCUUCAGCUGCUGGGAAGAGCUCCAACAGUUAAAAACUACUGAACAUGCAAGGGGGAAGGAGGGGACAUUAGGCCCUGUAAAGCCUCAUAUCUCAGUGUUCCCUCUGCAAAAUGGAACUAACACCUCCCACAGGACAAUUUGAGUAGAAAACAUUAAAACUGUUGCAUUGCUUUAGAGAUCUAAUACGGUCAAGAAACAGUGAGUAAGACUGAUAAAUCCAGAGGCCCACACACAGCUCAAAGGCAAAGCAGAACUCUCAGGACAGGAGAUUCAAAUGGCAAUAUACAAGUAACAUUAUUAAACUCUCCCUUAGCCUCUCCAGCAGUGGCUCCUUUAAGACCUCUGGGUAAGAGAGCUACUCUUUACAGCUACAGGUGCUUUCUCCAUGGAUGGAUUCACUGGAUGUGCAACUAUAACUGAGUUUCAUCCCAUGGGUGAGGUCCAUUUGGCGACCAGACAAGGUUCCUGCACGUGUUAUGCCCAGACGGGCCUCACUACCUUCAACACACUUCACCCUUUCGUGCUUCUUCCUGCUGGGCAUCUCUGCUCCUUGCAGCCAGGCCUGCGGAGGCCUCCACAGAGUCUACCCACUGCCCCGGAAGGCUGUUCGUACAUCAUGGUCAGCAAACAAGAAGUCAUAAAGACAGAAUUUUAAAUGAGUUCCUCGUAAUAAAAGUGGGGUAUAAAACCA